rnacentral:tRNA from 1 species
GAUUCAGUAGCUCAGCAGGUAGAGCACAACACUUUUAAUGUUGGGGUCCGGGUUCGAGCCCAGCUGGAUCA